ACUCAAAUGAAUAGACGGGGGCCCGCACAAGCGGUGGAGCAUGUGGUUCAAUUCGACGCAACGCGAAGAACCUUACCAGCCCUUGACAUGUCUAGGACCGGUCGCAGAGACGCGACCUUCUCUUCGGAGCCUGGAACACAGGUGCUGCAUGGCUGUCGUCAGCUCGUGUCGUGAGAUGUUGGGUUAAGUCCCGCAACGAGCGCAACCCUCGUCCUUAGUUGCCAUCAUUAAGUUGGGCACUCUAAGGAGACUGCCGGUGAUAAGCCGCGAGGAAGGUGGGGAUGACGUCAAGUCCUCAUGGCCCUUACGGGCUGGGCUACACACGUGCUACAAUGGCGGUGACAAUGGGCAGCGAACCCGCAAGGGGGAGCUAAUCUCUAAAAACCGUCUCAGUUCGGAUUGCACUCUGCAACUCGAGUGCAUGAAGUUGGAAUCGCUAGUAAUCGUGGAUCAGCAUGCCACGGUGAAUACGUUCCCGGGCCUUGUACACACCGCCCGU
rnacentral:rRNA from 1 species